GCCCGCGCGUCCUUUCUCCCCACCAACACUCGGGAUAUUAAAACUUGGCACAGACGUAUUUAAGGUUGCAGUUCUGGAUUCCGGGGGCGCUGCAGACAGAAGCAGCAGAGUGAGUACCAGGAUCUAGAAACUGGCCUGCUCUGGGUACCGAGACUUCCUAUCCAGCUCCGGAAGUACCGCAAGAAUGGGCGGGCCCUAGCGCGAGGCGGAAGUGCGGGGCGGUCCGGGUGAGGGGCGGAGCUUGGCUGGGCACGGUGUGCGGAGCCCUGUCACUCUCGGCUUUCACCCUGUGGCGCUGUCUAUGGAGCGGCUCCUGGCCCAGCUGUGCGGCACCGAUGCGGCGCGACCGCUCCCGCUGUGGGAAGGCGACACCACGGGCCACUGCUUCACCCAGCUGGUGCUCAGCGUCCUUCCCCACGCGCUCCUCGCCGUCCUCAGUGCCUGCUACUUGGGCACUCCAAGGACUUCAGAUUACAUCCUACCUUUCAGUCCUGGCUGGCGCCUCCGACUCACAGCUUCCUUCCUUCUGUCUGUCUUCCCACUGCUAGACCUCCUUCCAGUGGCUCUGCCUCCAGGGUCACGCCCAGGGCCCAUAGGGCUAGAGGUUCUGGCAGGGUGUGUGAUGGCUGUGGCCUGGUUCACCCACAGCCUGGCCCUGUGGGCAUUGGUUCAUUCCCGUCAUGGCCGCUCCCGUGGACCCUUGGCCUUGGCUCUGGCAGCCUUCCUACCAGCUCCAGCCCUGGUGCUGACUCUGCUGUGGCAUUGCCAGCGAGGCACGUUCCUGCCCCCGCUUCUCCCAGGACCCCUGGGCCGUGUCUGUCUUCUUAUUCUGCAGCUGGCAGCAGUCUUGGCCUAUGGACUGGGCUGGGCAGCCCCUGGGGGGCCACGAGAGCCCUGGACUCAGGAACACUUCCUGACCUCUGAGAGUCAAGAAACAGAGGUGGCUGAAGAUGGAGAGAGUUGGUUGUCACGUUUUUCCUAUGCCUGGUUGGCACCCUUGCUUGCUCGCGGCGUCCGUGGAGAGCUCCGGCAGCCCCGGGACAUUUGCCGACUCCCCCGAAGGCUGCAUCCUGCCUACCUGGCCCGCGCCUUCCAAGCACAGUGGAAGGAGGGAGCCCAACUGUGGAGGGCCCUGUAUGGGGCCUUUGGAUGUUGCUACCUGGCCCUUGGACUGUUGAAGCUGGUGGGGACCAUGCUGGCAUUCUCUGGGCCUCUGCUGCUCUCCCUCCUGGUGGGCUUCCUGGAGGAAGGGCAAGAGCCCCUAAGCCACGGCCUGCUCUACGUCCUGGGCUUGGCCAGUGGGGCUGUGAUGAGUGCGGUGCUGCAGAACCAAUAUGGGUAUGAGCUCCGGAAAGUGACGCUUCAGGCCCGGGGGGCUGUGCUGAGCAUCCUCUACCGGAAGGCCUUGCAGCUUGGGCCCAGCCGCCCUCCCACGGGGGAGGCCCUGAACCUACUAGGCACCGACUCCGAGAGGCUGCUCAACUUUGCUGGCAGCUUCCAUGAGGCCUGGGGCCUGCCUCUGCAACUGGCCAUCACCCUCUACCUGCUGUACCAGCAGGUGGGCAUGGCCUUCGUGGCCGGGUUGGUCUUGGCACUGCUGCUGGUACCCAUCAACAAAGUGAUUGCCACCCGCAUCAUGGCCAGCAAUCAGGAGAUGCUGCAUCACAAGGAUGCCCGGGUUAAGCUCAUGACGGAGCUGCUGAGUGGCAUUCGAGUCAUCAAGUUCUUCGGGUGGGAGCAGGCUCUGGGGGACCGAGUAAAGACCUUCCGGUCUCAAGAGCUGGGCCGACUCCGGGUCAUCAAAUACCUGGACGCAGCCUGCGUGUACCUGUGGGCCGCUCUGCCUGUUGUCACCUGCAUCGUCAUCUUCGUCACCUACGUCCUCAUGGGGCACCAGCUCACUGCCACCAAGGUGUUUACGGCACUGGCGCUGGUACGGCUGCUCAUUCUUCCUCUCAACAACUUCCCCUGGGUGAUCAAUGGCCUCUUGGAGUCCAAAGUAUCCUUGGACCGGAUCCAGCGUUUCCUCGAUCUUCCAAACUACAACCCUGAGGCCUACUACAGCCCCGAUCCCCCCAUGGAGCCAUCCACGGCACUGGAGCUGCAUGAAGCCCUGUUCUCCUGGGACCCGAUUGGCACAAGCCAGAAGACCUUCAUCAGUCACCUCAACGUGAAAAAGGGCACGCUGGUGGGCAUCGUGGGAAAGGUGGGCUGUGGGAAGAGUUCGCUGCUGGCCGCCAUCACUGGGGAGCUCCACAGGCUUUGUGGGUCAGUGGCAGUGUCAGGACUGUCCAAAGGCUUUGGACUGGCCACCCAGGAGCCCUGGAUCCAGUGUGCCACCAUCCGAGACAAUAUCCUCUUUGGGAAGACAUUUGAUGCCCGGCUGUACACGGAGGUGCUGGAGGCCUGUGCCCUCAAUGAUGAUCUCAGCAUCCUGCCUGCCGGAGACCAGACAGAGGUGGGAGAGAAGGGUGUGGCCCUCAGCGGGGGACAGCGGGCCCGGAUCGCGCUUGCCCGGGCUGUCUACCAGGAGAAAGCAUUCUAUCUCCUUGACGACCCUCUGGCCGCCGUGGAUGCAGAUGUGGCCAACCACCUGCUGCACAGGUGCAUCCUGGGAGUGCUGAGCCACACCACCCGGCUGCUGUGCACGCACCGCACUGAGUACCUGGAGAGGGCUGACGUGGUGCUGUUGAUGGAGGCCGGGCACCUGGUCCGAACAGGGCCUCCCUGUGAGAUUCUGCCAUUGGUUCAAGCUGCCCCCACAGCCUGGGCUGAGGAGGAACAAGUGGCUGGCUCAGGCAAGUCCCUGUCAGUACAGAACCCAGAGGAAACCGCAGAGGGGCUGGAGGCGGAGCAGAGCACAUCUGGUCGCCUAGUACAGGAAGAAAGCAAAAAUGAGGGCGCUGUGGCCCUGCAUGUGUACCGAGCGUACUGGAGGGCCAUGGGCAGCGGCCUGGCCGUCGCCAUCCUCGUCUCUCUGCUCCUCAUGCAAGCCACACGCAACGGCGCUGACUGGUGGCUCUCUCACUGGCUCUCUCAGCUGAAGACAGCCAGGAAUAGCUCUCAGGAGGGCCCAGCUUCCUCCAGCCCAGGAUCCACAGUGCUCUUCUCCCCGCCGCCGCCGCUGCUUCUCUUCUCCUCCAGAAACUUCUACAUCCCACUGCUCAGAACUGCUUCCAACGGCUCCUCCGAUGUCCACUUCUACCUCACCGUGUAUGCCACCAUUGCUGGCGUUAACUCUCUCUGCACCCUCCUCCGGGCGGUGCUCUUUGCGGCAGGUGCCCUUCAAGCAGCGGCCACAUUACACCACCGCCCGCUGCAUCAGCUCCUCAAGGCACCGGUGGCUUUCUUCCACUCCACGCCCUCGGGCCGGGUCUUGAACCGCUUCUCCUCAGAUGUAGCCUGUGUGGACGACAGCCUGCCCUUCCUCCUCAACAUCCUGCUGGCCAAUUCCGUAGGCCUGCUGGGCCUCCUGGUCGUGCUGGGUUCCGGCCUGCCCUGGCUGCUGCUGCUGCUGCCGCCGCUGGGCUUCCUCUACUACGGGGUGCAGCGUCACUACAGGGCGUCCUUCCGGGAGCUGCGGCGCCUGGGCAGCCUCACCCUGUCCCCGCUCUACACCCACCUGGCUGACACCCUGGCGGGCCUCCCCGUGCUCCGGGCUGCAGGGACCACUUACAGGUUUGAGGAGGAGAACCAGCGACUCCUGGAGCUAAACCAGCGGUGCCAGUUCGCCUCCUGUGCCACGACGCAGUGGCUGGACAUUCGACUGCAGCUCAUGGGGGCAGCCGUGGUCAGCGCCAUCGCCGCCAUCGCCCUGGUACAGCACCAGCUGGGCCUUGCCAACCCAGGGCUGGUGGGCCUGGUGCUGUCCUAUGCCCUGUCCUUGACGGGCCUGCUCUCGGGCCUGGUGAGCAGCUUCACACAGACAGAAGGCAUGAUGGUGAGUGUCGAGCGACUGGAGGAGUAUUCCUGCGACAUUCCUCAGGAGCCCCGAGGCCGGCCAGCGCAGACACCCCAGCAGGGCAUCAGGUGGCUGACCCAGGGAAGCGUGGAGUUCCAGGACGUGGUGUUGGUGUAUCGGCCAGGGCUGCCAAACGCCCUGGACAGGGUGACCUUCCGAGUGGAGCCCGGAGAGAAGCUGGGCAUUGUAGGCCGCACGGGCUCCGGCAAGUCUUCCCUGUUCUUGGUGCUCUUCCGGCUGCUGGAGCCCAGCGCCGGGCGGGUGCUGCUUGACGGCGUGGACACCAGCCAGCUGGAGCUGGCUGAGCUCAGGUCUGGGGGACAGGUGACUUGGGAGGAGGGCAGUGGGACUACUCUGGGGAGGUGUAAGUAGACUCAGGGCAGCCAGUCAGCAGACAAGGAAGAUGCGGUGGAUAGGGGAGGACAGGUCAGCUGCGCCCCCGGCUGGGUGCAUCCCCAUCUCCAUCUUUCCUGUGCUUCCCAGAACACACCUUCUACUCCAAACACUAGCCGUUGCCUUCUAAGUCAGAGCCUCUCAGGAGCUGUAUUCCGAGAUGCCAUGAGCCCUCAGGCCUCAGGUUUGGUAGGCAAUACAUGGUGCAGCUUGGGGCCUGGGUCAAGUGCACUUGGCCACACGUGACCUCAUCUGAAGCUAUAGAUGCCCAUUCCCAGUUUAACUUAGCAUCGUUUUCUCCCAGUCCACAACACGGAAAGGGUAAGGACGUCUCAUCCUAAGCCCAGAGCUCCCUGCCCUGCCUCUUCCGCCCUCUCUCGCCCCUUGACCUCCUCCCACUUAGAAAUGCCUGCACCCCAUUCCCGCCCUCUUCAUUUCCUGCCUCGCCACUGCCCUCUCUGGGGUCAGCACCACAGCUCAGCCCAUUGGUUCUGGCUUUGAACACCUCAGUAAAGUGUGAUUCCUUAAGGCCAGGUCCAGGCCUUCACCUCUCUGGUUCUUCUCACAGUGCCAGUGCUGUCCUAGAUCCCAGCUAGCCAUCAUCCCCCAGGAGCCUUUUUUGUUCAGUGGGACUGUCCGGGAGAACCUGGACCCCCAGGGCCUCCGUGAGGAC